rnacentral:lncRNA from 1 species
AAAAUUAUGCAAAAUAUACAAUGUAGUUUGUGUAAUAGAAAAAUAAAUAACUUAUAAAUGAUGUUCUAUAAUUCUUAUGUGAAUCAUCUAAAAUCGUCAACGCAUAGAAGUAGACAAUAGAAUGUUGGCUAUUAGGAGAUGAAGAAAGGAGGAUAAGAGGAUUUGUUGCUCAAUGAAUAUAAAGUUACAGCUAAGCAAGGUAAAUAAGUUCCAGAGAUCUGCUGUACAACAUUUUACCUAUAGUUAACAGUAAGAUAUUAUAUGCUUAAAAACGUGUUGAGGGUAGAUCCCACAUGAAUUAUUCUUAACACACAUACACACACACACACACACACACACACACACACACGACAAUAAAAAGGCACAAGAAACUACUUAUAGGUAAUGAAUAUGCUUAUUAUGUUGAAUGUGAUCAUGGUAACAUGAAUAUAUACAUAUAUCUAGACUCAUCAAAUUGUAUACAUUAGUUAUGUCCAGCUUUUUGAGUACCAAUUACACUCCAAUAAAGCUGAGGGAAAAUAAAUGAUUUUGUGUUACAGGGGAUUAAAAAAUAGAAAAAGUUAGGGAGAGAUAAGUAGCAAAAGAACAAACAAGAAAACACAAAAUUCUUAAAGUGAAAGAAACAGUAAACAUGGAGAAAGAAGGCACAGUAAAAUCACAUUUAUUAAUUUGAAAAUUUGAAGAAUGUGGGAGUACUUUAAGUUAUAUUACAAGAGGAAUGUUAAAAUGAAGAUGAACAAGUUAAAGUAGAAGGUUUCAGGUUUCUAAAGAAGAAUGGCAGAAACUAACAUAUAGAAAGGACUUGGUCUCAAAAGCAGACUGAAGAAAGCAAUUCUUUAUACAACUUACUGGAUAUCAUCAGUUCCUCUGCUGAGAUCAAUUUUAUUACUAUGAAAAAGAUUUGAAAUAAUUUGAAAUGUUUCUUUGCAAACCAGUGUUCUCAAUAUACAGGAAGAAAACAAGCCUGUAAGAUGAAAUACUUCUACCUGGUUAAUAAAUACAGAAAUCGAUUCUUCCUCCAUUGAAGUCUAUCUUUUCCAAUGGGACCAAUCCACAUGCAGAUGCAAAGGCACUCAUGUUUGCUCAACAUGUAGAAACAAGAAAAUCACACAGAGCAAGAGUGACAGAAAUGUAAGAUGCUAUGGAAUUAUAAAAGAUUAGAUCAACAUAUUAAAUUUUACUCACCCCCAUAAGAGGAUGGGAAAUUUCAAGAUGGGAAAAUUUCUGAGCUGAAUUGGUUUAAUGAAGAUGGAUAGAAAUCAUGUUUGACUAAGAUGUUGUAAAUGAACUUCUUGUAACAAAAAAGCCAUUUGAACACAAAUUACUGAGCAUCACUGGUCGGAGAGAUCAUUUAUCACUUCUUAAUAAAUGAUCAGACAAUGACCUCAAACCUACGUAAGUCUAAAACAGGGCUUUGAGUUGCUGCUAAAGUGACAAAUUUGAAAAUCUGAUUCACUGUAAUGAAGAUUGAAAACAUAGGUACAAAAACUGAAUGUGAGAAACUGAGUGACUAGCCCGCUUAUCCAAGACCCUUAAGAGGUCUGUGGUUAUCUGAAGUUAAUCGUGGUCUCUGGUUAUCGGUAAAGGCAUAAAUCAGCUCUCUUUAAAAUAGCUUUCCUAAACUAGGCACAAGUGAUUUUUCAGAUUAAGAUUCAGCAGAAAGCUCAUAAUUUAAGAUAGUACAAAGCAAGAGCUUGUAUGUGGAGAAUUAAUAAAUAAGAAAUGUAGUCACCACAACAACUGUAGUUAUUGGAGUUUUCAGAAUGAGAAUAUAGCAAAAUUUUCUAUGAAAUAUAAAAAGACAGAAAAUUUAAUAUAAGAUAAAUAUAUAAUAAAAACUAUCUGAAAAGAAAAGAGAUUUGGGGAAAAAUUAGAACUUCUACGUAUGAAAAACAUAACUAUUAAAAGCAUACUACAUGUUAAACUGAUGAUUAAAUGCAGUUGAGAAGAUAAUUCAUGAGAUGGAAAAUACAAUUGAACAAAUUAACCCUUAGGGAAUAAAAAUAAAAAUAAAGAAAUUAAAGUAUAUACAAAAAAAUCUGGACAAUAUCAAAUAAGAUAGAAUAAGAAGGUUGAGCAUUCAUCUAAUAAGAAGCUCGUAGGAAGAGACAGAAUGAAUGAGAUAUACUAUUCAAAGAUACAAUGAGUACAAAUUUUUCAAAAAUUUUCUUGGAAUUUUAAUGAAUAUCAAGCAGAAUAAAACAAAUAAAAUCUUAUGUGAACAUAUUUUGGAGAAAUUUCUAAAGAACAAAUGCAAAGACAAAAACUUAAAAGACUCAGAUAAAAACAUUGAGAGUGAUAAACUUACUAUAACUAGAGAGAUAUAUAGAUGAUAGAUGAUAGAUAGAUAGAGAUGGAUGAUAGAAUGGAAUGACAAUUUAGAGAUUUUAGAAACGUUAAAAAAUGUUAAGUAAAAAUCACUGCCAACAUAAUAUUGUAAACUCGAGAAAAUACAAGAGUGAAAAGCAGAUUUUACAGAUAAAGGAGAGAAAGAGAAAGAUUGCUGAAAAUAGAAUUAUUCAAAGAAUUUUUACAAAAUGCUCUGUAAGAAGAAAAAUCAAGAAAUAUAGUCUUAAUUACAGAAAAUAAUAUAAAUAAAUGCAACCUUAAAUAUGAACAUGCAUAAAUACUAACAUUCUUUCUUGCAAAGAAAAAAAACAACUAAUUUUCUUCCAGGUUUUCAGUUUUGGGUUUGACAUUUAAAACUUUAAUCCAUCUUGAGUUAAAUUUUAUAUGGUUUAAAGAAGGGGUCCAGUUUCAAUCUUCUGCAUAUGGCUAGCCAGUUAUCCCAGCAUACCAUUUAUUGAAUAGGGAAUCCUUUACCUAUUGCUUGUUUUUGUCAGGUUUGUUGAAGAUCAGAAAAUUGUAGGUGUGCAGUCUUAUUUCUGGGUGCUCUAUUCUGUUCCAUUGGUCAAUGUGUCUGUUUUUGUAUCAGUACCAUGCUGUUUGGGUUACUGUAGCCCUGGAGUAUAGCUUGAAGGAGAUCAUUAUCCCUAGCAAACUAACACAGGAACAGAAAACCAAAUACUGCAUGUUAUCACUAAUAAGUGGGAGCUUAAUGAUGGGAACACAUGGACACAUAGAAAGGAACAACAGACACUGGGCCUUUCAGAGGGAGGAAAGAGGGAGAGGAUAAGGAAAAAUAACUAAUGGGUCCUCGGCUUAAUACUUGGGUAAUGAAAUAAUCUGUACAACAAACUCUCAUGAAACAAGUUUACCUAUGAAACAAACCUGCGUUGUACCCCUAAACUUGAAAUAAAAUUUAUAAACAAAUAAACAAAAAGAAAUGAAUGAAAAGAGAAAAAAAAUACUGAGUAAAAAUAAACAGUAGGUGUUUUUAAGGAAUGAGAUUUUUUGUGUUUUUUUCCGUCUUUACAUUUGUUAUUAUUUAAACACUUCCCAAUGAACAUGCACUACUUGUGUAAUAAAUGUAACUAUUAUUCACAUUUAGUUGACUAUGUUUUAAAACUAACCCAGAGUUUAAUUUUGAUAAUGAUUUUUAAAAGGGAAAAUAACAUAAACUUUUUUCUCUCCUCUUUUCUACUGUGAGAGUGAGCAGUAUUUAUCACACAUACACACACGUCAUAUCUGAAUUCCUCAAAAUGUUAAACAAGUUAUUGCUCUAAAAUUGAUAAGAAAUACAUCAAUCUGUGUAUUUGCUGAUAUAUAUAGUGUAUAAUUUUAAAAUUAUUUCUAUAUUUUAUUCACGUGAAAUUUCUUGAUUCAGUUUAAACUGUUAGUUUUAUGAAAUAUAAUCCACAUCCAUCCUUUUAACUACAAUCACCUGUAUGGGCAACAAUGCAUGUAAGCUUAAUGAGAAACGAGUAUGCAUCCAUACCUGUAGGGGUCAGUUAUUAUUUGCUAUUGUACUCUUUUAUUCAAUACACAAUAAUUUUGUCUAGGAAGGCACACUGAAAAUUUAUAAAAUUUCUACUGAAAAGUGUCUAUUUUACUUACAUCACCAUUUUAGAUUUUCUUUGUUCUCUUUCUUUGCAAUUGAUAACAAAAAAAUUACAAUCAAGGCAUAUGAUAUAUGUUUUUUUCUUCUGUUUUUUGGAAUUAUUUUUCCCCACCUCCAGUAUUACAUUAACUCUAACAUAUACACAGAUAUAUACAGCCAUAGCUGGCUUUGAGCUGGGGAAGGUGUCUACCCUGUCCAUCUCCUUCAUCUAGAAUUCUCAUUUGUCAUACAACCGUCAUCGUCUUUGUUCCAUUAAUUGUUUGAAAGAGAUAAUGUCACAAGAUCUCAGAAUCAAGCUACUUUGUCAAUCUUCCUUUAUCUUAUACAUUUGCCUUCUCUCAGAAACAGAAUUUUAAAAUAAUAACAAGACAGCAAAAACUUUUUCUUUAUCCAGUAAUAGAAUUGGCAGUUUCUAUAAUGAAGGGAAUAUUUUCAGAGGAGGAAAUAUGAGGCCAUGCUACCAAUCAAAAUAGCUAAUAAUUAUAUGUAUAUAUGUCUGUAUAAAAUAUAAUUUCAAAUUGUGUGUUUUGGGGAAAUGCUGAGUUUUAAACAGUUUUAAGUUAUAUGCCUAGGCAUAUAAUAAAAAUGUAUCAAUUGAAUACUCAAUAUAAUUUUAGCUCAUGAAAAAUUGUGUUAUAACUGUGGUAACUGUAAAUAAGUUUUCUGCAAGUUAAACAGAGCAAUGAUAUUCCUUAUGUUCCAGUUAGUAGUGCUGUGAACAAGAGAAAGAUUUCUAGUGCAAUUGAAAAUGCUGAAAACAUUUUCAAAAAAUAUUGUUUGUUGUAUUCAGUUUGUUAUAGCAUUAAUAAAUUUUGCUAUUAUCCAACUUCUCUAAAGUACUUUAAAAAUUUCUAUUUCACUAUUUUAAAAAUAUUGUAACAUCUUCUAGUCUCAAGUAUAAAUUAGUAUAAAUUGUAUGUCAGAAAGCAUUGUCUGUCUCUCACUCUGUGUCUAUGUGCCUAAAUAUAUGUAGAUUUCACUCCAUCUCACUAUGCUACACAUAUACAAGAACAUGUAUAUAUUGAUAGAAAGAGAAAAGUACAUUCCUUCAAGUACAAUUAAAUGACUGGCUAUACUUCCUUGGAAGGGUGACUUGCUAACAUUUCCAAGGUUAGAUUUAUAGAUUUGCAAUGAUUUAAUGCAUAAAGUGCAUUUCCUGGAAAAAUUCAAUUAAUUCCAAUAUUCUCAAAAUCCUUCUUUCUGAGACUUAACAUGUAAAUUUUUUCAUGUUGCCAGUUUUUUAAAUAAAAUAAUAAAAGUUAGCUGCAAAUAAAAUGUAUAUUAAAGAUUGUUGGGUAAUUUUUGUAUGCUAAUAUGCAUUGCAGUUCUUAUUUUUCAAACAAAACAUAUUUAGACUCAAACAUACCUGAUAUUAAAUUUUAAACGUACAUUAUCUCUAAAAAUAAAACAAAAACAAAUUUCAAAUAUAUCAACAACAUCAUAUAUAAAAUACUCAGCUUUCAAAGGCUAUUUUGGGGGGAGGAGCCAAGAUGGCCGAAUAGGAACAGCUCGGUCUACAGCUCCAAGCGUGAGCGACGCAGAAGAUGGGUGAUUUCUGCAUUUCCAUCUGAGGUACCGGGUUCAUCUCACUAGGGAGUGCCAGACAGUGGGCGCAGGUCAGUGGGUGCGCCGUGCGCGAGCCGAAGC